GUGUACUGUGUGAAGUGUGUGAAUAGUGAAGACUAAACCGUUAUCAUGACGGAACCACAAGCAGAAGACGAACAAGAAAAUCUUACGGCAGUGAUUGCAGUAGUUGAUGAAUCGAAUUCGGCCGAUGUUCCGAAUUUGAAGGGUGAUUGGCAUAACAUUUUUGUAUUGAUAUUGCUGUACACAAUGCAAGGAAUUGGUACCAGUUUAACCACAGGAGUGCCGAUUAUUUUGCAAGCCAAUAAAAACGUAACUUACAAAGACCAGGCUUUAAUUAGUAUGGCGACAUGGCCAUUUAGCUUAAAAAUGAUGUGGGCACCUUUAGUGGACGCCAUCUAUAUACAAAAGGUAGGAAGACGAAAAUCUUGGCUAUUACCAGUUCAAUUUUUAAUCGGUGGGUGCUUCAUUUAUAUGGGAAUAAAUAUUGAAGAUUGGAUAGCUACAAAUAGGGGAAAGCCAAAUAUAUUAAAACUGUUUUAUCCGAUUUUAUUCGUUCAAGCUUUGAUAGCUACGCAAUUCAUAGUCAUCGACAGUUGGGUACUAACAAUGCUAAAGAAGAAUAACCUGGGUUACGGGCCAAGUUGCACUUUAAUAGGUGUACCGUUUGGUGCAUUGAUUGGCUCUUUAUUUCUCGUUGGGUUCACGUCAGAGAAUUUUUGUAAUAAGUACCUACGAUUUACACCGGAUACAGGAGGAAUAACCACUAUGCCAGGUUUUUUUUAUUUUUGUGGUUUUCUUUUCAUUGUAACAUCAAUAUUAAUUGGCAUUUUCAAAAAAGAAAAAUAUAACAGUUUAGAAAACACCUACAUGAAACUUAAUAUUAUUCAGUAUUAUACUGUUGUGUGGGAAAUUUUAAAGCUACCGAGUAUCCGUGUAUUGGCUAGUGCACUGAUAACAGUGGAGAUUGGAUUUUCUUCGUCUAUCAUUAAUGUGUGGAUUUUACAACUCAUUGACGCAGGAGUAUCAAAAGAUAAUGUUUUAGUUAUACAUUCAUCAAUGAUUAUAGUAAGAGUCAUUGCACCAAUUAUUAUAUCAAAAUACACCGCAGGACCUAAAACAAUGAGCGUAUACUUAAAGAUGUCACCCAUCAGAGCAAUGUGGAACAUUACAUUUGUUAUAUUUAUAUAUUAUACUACAAAAUUCAUAACAACUAAUGGGAAAAUAGGUUUUCCAAUAUAUUUCUAUGUAAUUAUAGUAUUUCUUUUCAUAAUUAAUCACAUUCUAGGAAUGACUAUGAGAUCAGCUAAAUUUACUUUAUUUAAUCGUAUAAGUGAUCCUCGUUUUGGUGGUACUUACAUGGCAUUAUUAAAUACUUUUUCAAAUAUCGGGAUAUCGUCAUCGACUUCGCUUGCAAUUUCAAUGAUAGAUUUUUUAACUUUCAAAGAAUGUUCAUUAAAUUAUGAUAACAAUUGUUCUACAUCAAGUCCGAACAACACGUGUAAAACAAAUGGAAGAAGUUGCAUUGUAACAGUUAACGGCUAUUACGUAGAAUCGGCUCUGUGUAUAUUGUUUGGAAUCGGAUGGUACUAUAUUUUCAGAGGUAUUCUUAAAAAACUCCAAGUUAAGAACCCUUCCCAUUGGAUGGUCAAUGUAAAAAACAAUAAAGUGAAGAAAAAUAAAACGGCUGAACACACAAUGGUCGAAAACUCAUAGUAAAGUAUAUUUUAGUCAACGGUUGAAAACGAAAACGAUAUUUAAACAUUGCAAAUCAGCACGAAAAAUAAGAUCCUAACCUAACGUAGGUACCUACACCAAGCUUCGAACGCACCGACACUGCUGCCGUCAAACAAAUCGCCGAACACCGGUUGCUCCCGUACGAUAAAGAUCGUCAAUCGGUGACCUAUGUAGGCGGCAUGCCACCUCGCACGUUCUUCGGUCACCGACGGCGGCGUGACAUGAUCGCGAGCGUCCUUUACUCAGGUGCACGCGUGCUAGACACUCUGGUGGCUUUGGCGAGACACGUUGGCGGAUGUGGCAGGUCGGCUGUUAGGAAUAGCGUUAGACAGCGUAACACGGCGAUCUGCACGUCGACGUUUCGAAUAGCACCGCCCUCCAGGGCCUAUCACGUUAACCGAUGCAGGACGACGCGCGAAUCGGAGGCCAAUAAUACUCUCACCCCGCGACCCACCAAAAUACGCCGUCGACAGACACCAGUCGGUCGCGAAAGUAUAUCGUCAUCACGAUUGACGACCCGUGGAGAUGAGUCGCAAUGAAUUAGUGAGAGACACGUCAGCGGAAGUGGCAGGUCGGCUGGCCCAACGUAUAGUGUUAUUGCGGCCAGCGCCAUAAACAGCAGUUGCCCCAUUAUGUAGGGCGAUUAUCCAAACAGUUGUAGCACAAGAGAGUGUAAUACGGUGAUCUGCACGUCACCGUCCUCCCGGGCCCAUCACUUUAUCCGAUACCGGACGACGCACGACGAGGACCGGUAGUGUUUUGGUGUACUCGAAAUAAGAGCGUCGACCGGUGACCGGUGCAGGUGGUAGUCACGGUAGUCACUUCGCACGUUCACCGGUCACCGCGACGGCGUUACGUGAUCGCGAGCGUCAUAUUUUACUCAGGUGCACACGCGCCACUAGACACUCUGGCGGCCCGGCGGGCGCUGUCGGCUUUGAUCGCGCGGUGCGACAGACGACUGCGACGGGCGCGCGACAACGGGACUUCCGGUAUACCGACGACGGUGAUGGCGAUGGCUUAUUGCGGCGGUUCGCAGAACGCGCGGGCCGUGUCUUGUUCCGGAAAUAGACGUCAGCUGUGCCGGCGACCCGCGGUAGACGUGGUUUCCGGGUACGGUGCUGAUGCGCGACAUCGGCGGCGAUGGUUAUAGAACAGUGCACAGUGCAGUCAUACGCAGUAAUUUAAUCCGUGCGACGGUUGGCCACCGAUUUUACAUGGCUUCACUCGUUUGUACGUUGCCAUCGUUAUCGCACGCUAAAGCCGGUCGAUGUCUAUCGCUAUUAAGCAACCAUUACGCAUCACCGACUCCCAUAAAACGCUUCCAGAACACUAUUUGCGGAAUGAAAUCUGUCGUCGCGUAAAAUCAUUUUAGUUUUGGAUUGACUGACGUUUAAGAUAGUAACACGUCCGGUGGGAAGUGUGUGUAACUAAAACCAUAUAGAAUGUAUGCUGCAAAAUUAUAUGCGUUUAACUGGAGUUGUGUAUAAACGUCAUGCGCUCGUUCGAAAAACUUAUAUGAUAUUAUUUUUUAAUAAGUA